rnacentral:rRNA from 1 species
GCCUGCCAUGCUACCUUGAACACACCCAAUCCCAUCUGAUCUCGGAAGCUAAGCAGGGUUGGGCCUGGUUAGUACUUGGAUGGGAGAUCACCUAGGAAGACCAGGUGCUGUAGGCA